AUCAGGUACUACUUGCUAACUUGUAAUAUCUUUUAAACUUCUGGAAUGGUCUAUUGGGAGUGUAACAAUGUCUUUUUCCUCCUCUUACUACGAAAGCGAUCAAGAGAUUCCAUGGAGUUUUGUCUCUGAUUUGCAUAAAGAUACAUAUAACGGAGAUGAACUAACAAUCAGAAAAUUAUGUCAAACCAUUCUAUUCGAAAAGGAUGUGACUGAUACAAACCAGGUUGAAAGGAGGAGAAAUAAAUUGCAGACAUGAAACAGUUAGCAAAUUCUACAGGAUUGACUUAUAUACCUUGCAGGUACCAGCUUAUUAAUUUCUACUGCAUGCAGUCAUGCAGAACGAAGAUAUAAAGAGAAGCCAAGAAGAUUAUCACUUGCAGUCAUACAGAAGACUGACGACAUUCAUACAGUGACGAUUCCAGAGCAAGCUCUACAUACGUGUCCAGGUUGUGCUGUACACUACACACAUCUUGGUUUGAUAGAGAUUCCUGUCUGACUUUUCCAUUGUUGUUUUUUUCUCCUUUGAACGGUUUACUUGUUGGAAGCAAACAAUAAAGCAAUGAAGAAAGGUGUACGUGUUAAAAAAGUAAUUAUGACAAUUGUUCGCUUUGCUGAGGGAAUAUGUAUGGCGUUUCAAUUGUCAAUGUCCAUAUUGGGUAUA